CAUUAGGAAAAAUCCCCAUGAAGCACUUACAGAAGGAGUCCCUUUAAAACACUCAAGGCAGUUAAUAAUCCAUGUUAGAUACUCGAUGAGUUAAAGAUUGCACAGGUCACAUGGUCACAAUCGCCAUCAACCUUCAUGAAACUUCUCGCAGAUUUCUUACUUCUUGAGUCAUGCCCCAUUGCCUAACCUAUCACCUCAAAGGCAAAUUGCUAUGAAUUGCCCAUCCCUAACCUGAAGCUUCAAAAGAGACAGAACAGGGGCUGUGAUCUGCCGCCGUUGGGGGUGGUGUCUCUGGUUAGCAGGCAGCCUCCUUGCUCGAUACAGGCUUGGGUCAGUCCUUUUGGAACCAGCCACCAUCAGGCUUCUCAGCCAGCCUGACAUCGUUCCCUUCAUGUGGAAGUCGGGAGUCUCGCUUUCUGCUUGCCAUGUGAGAUUCGUGGAGGGAAAAGAUACAUGGAUCAAGGCUCCAGUGGCUCCAGAUGGAAAUAACCUUUUAGCCUUUUCAGAGCUUCAAGGAAACUCAAGGGAUGACCACACAAAUGGAACUUGAAGAACUAAUCUGUAUGGUGUAGGAUGAGCGCAACCUUUGACACAUGACUGAUAGGAAGCCUAGUUUUCAAUGAGCUUUGAAGGGAUGGAAAACUCACAUGAAAAACAAACGUCUCCAGGACCAAGAAACUCAAUUUAAAAGUUGGUUCUAGAAAAUGCUCAUUCAUCAAAUACUUACCAAACACCUACUUUGUAGCAGAGACUGUGCUGGAGACUGACAAUACAGAUGAGAAGACAUCAGCCCUUGCCCAGAAGGAAUUUGCAAUCAGACAGCGUGACUUUCAUCAGAGGGUACAAAUACAAGAAAGAGAAAGGAAAGCCAAGCCUAUUUCGGAGACCCAGAAGUGGUAGCACUUGAGCCUAUUAUUGAAGGGGGAGUUGUCAGAGAUUUCUGACAAUCAUUUGGGUGUUGACUGAGUGCUGAUCAUAUACAUGCUCAGUGAGUAUAUGAGACAUGGCUUCUGUGAUGGUUAAUUUCAUGUGUCAACUUGACUGGACUAAGGGUGCCCAGAUAACUGGUAAAACAUAAUUUUUGGGUGUGUCUGUGAGGGUGUUUCCAUAAAUUAGUAUUCAAUUCAGUAGGCUGAGAAUAGUAGAUCUGCCCUCACCAAUAAGGGUGGGCACCAUCCAAUCCAUUGAGGGGCCGGAUGAAACAAAAAGGUGGAGGAAAGGUAAAUUGUCCCUUUUUUUUUCUUGAAUUGGGACAUCCUUCUUCUCAUGCCCUGAGACUCCCCCCACCUCACUUCCUUCAGUUCUUAGGCCUCUCGUCUUGGACUGGGAGUUACACACCAGCUCCCCGUUCCCAGGCCUUCAGACUCAGGCUGAAUUACACCAUGGGCUUUCCUGGGCCUCCAGCUCACAGAUGGCAUAUCACAGACUGUCUUGGCCUCCAUAAUUGCAUAAGUCACUUCCAAUAAUAAAUUCUCUCUUAUCUAUAUUAUACUUA